GACGAACGCUGGCGGCGUGCUUAACACAUGCAAGUCGAACGGAAAGGCCCUGCUUUUGUGGGGUGCUCGAGUGGCGAACGGGUGAGUAACACGUGAGUAACCUGCCCUUGACUUUGGGAUAACUUCAGGAAACUGGGGCUAAUACCGGAUAGGAGCUCCUGCUGCAUGGUGGGGGUUGGAAAGUUUCGGCGGUUGGGGAUGGACUCGCGGCUUAUCAGCUUGUUGGUGGGGUAGUGGCUUACCAAGGCUUUGACGGGUAGCCGGCCUGAGAGGGUGACCGGCCACAUUGGGACUGAGAUACGGCCCAGACUCCUACGGGAGGCAGCAGUGGGGAAUAUUGCACAAUGGGCGGAAGCCUGAUGCAGCAACACCGCGUGCGGGAUGACGGCCUUCGGGUUGUAAACCGCUUUCGCCUGUGACGAAGCGUGAGUGACGGUAAUGGGUAAAGAAGCACCGGCUAACUACGUGCCAGCAGCCGCGGUGAUACGUAGGGUGCGAGCGUUGUCCGGAUUUAUUGGGCGUAAAGGGCUCGUAGGUGGUUGAUCGCGUCGGAAGUGUAAUCUUGGGGCUUAACCCUGAGCGUGCUUUCGAUACGGGUUGACUUGAGGAAGGUAGGGGAGAAUGGAAUUCCUGGUGGAGCGGUGGAAUGCGCAGAUAUCAGGAGGAACACCAGUGGCGAAGGCGGUUCUCUGGGCCUUUCCUGACGCUGAGGAGCGAAAGCGUGGGGAGCGAACAGGCUUAGAUACCCUGGUAGUCCACGCUGUAAACGGUGGGUACUAGGUGUGGGGUCCAUUCCACGGGUUCCGUGCCGUAGCUAACGCUUUAAGUACCCCGCCUGGGGAGUACGGCCGCAAGGCUAAAACUCAAAGGAAUUGACGGGGCCCCGCACAAGCGGCGGAGCAUGCGGAUUAAUUCGAUGCAACGCGUAGAACCUUACCUGGGUUUGACAUGGAUCGGGAGUGCUCAGAGAUGGGUGUGCCUCUUUUGGGGUCGGUUCACAGGUGGUGCAUGGCUGUCGUCAGCUCGUGUCGUGAGAUGUUGGGUUAAGUCCCGCAACGAGCGCAACCCUUGUUCACUGUUGCCAGCACGUUAUGGUGGGGACUCAGUGGAGACCGCCGGGGUCAACUCGGAGGAAGGUGGGGAUGACGUCAAGUCAUCAUGCCCCUUAUGUCCAGGGCUUCACGCAUGCUACAAUGGCUGGUACAGAGAGUGGCGAGCCUGUGAGGGUGAGCGAAUCUCGGAAAGCCGGUCUCAGUUCGGAUUGGGGUCUGCAACUCGACCUCAUGAAGUCGGAGUCGCUAGUAAUCGCAGAUCAGCAACGCUGCGGUGAAUACGUUCCCGGGGCU
rnacentral:rRNA from 1 species